rnacentral:hammerhead_ribozyme from 1 species
ACCUUGCUGAAGAGUGCCACGUAGCACGAAACCCGGGUCGUCAGGGU